AACGAACGCUGGCGGCAUGCCUAACACAUGCAAGUCGAACGAGACCUUCGGGUCUAGUGGCGCACGGGUGCGUAACGCGUGGGAACCUGCCCUUAGGUUCGGAAUAACUCCCCGAAAGGGGUGCUAAUACCGGAUAAUGUCUUCGGACCAAAGAUUUAUCGCCUUUGGAUGGGCCCGCGUUGGAUUAGCUAGUUGGUAGGGUAAAAGCCUACCAAGGCGACGAUCCAUAGCUGGUCUGAGAGGAUGAUCAGCCACACUGGGACUGAGACACGGCCCAGACUCCUACGGGAGGUAGCAGUGGGGAAUAUUGGACAAUGGGCGAAAGCCUGAUCCAGCAAUGCCGCGUGAGUGAUGAAAGCCUUAGGGUUGUAAAGCUCUUUUACCCGGGAUGAUAAUGACAGUACCGGGAGAAUAAGCUCCGGCUAACUCCGUG
rnacentral:rRNA from 1 species